CCUGAACCAGCCAAGUCGCGUGAAGGAAGACAGUCCUAGGAUUGUAAACUUCUUUUAUACGGGAAUAACGGGCGAUACGAGUAUUGCAUUGAAUGUACCGUAAGAAUAAGCAUCGGCUAACUCCGUGCCAGCAGCCGCGGUAAUACGGAGGAUGCGAGCGUUAUCCGGAUUUAUUGGGUUUAAAGGGUGCGUAGGUUGUUCGGUAAGUCAGCGGUGAAACCUGAGCGCUCAACGUUCAGCCUGCCGUUGAAACUGCCGGGCUUGAGUUCAGUGGCGGCAGGCGGAAUUCGUGGUGUAGCGGUGAAAUGCAUAGAUAUCACGAGGAACUCCGGAUUGCGAAGGCAGCUUGCCAUACUGCGACUGACACUGAAGCACGAAGGCGUGGGUAUCAAACAGGAUUAGAUACCCUGGUAGUCCACGCAGUAAACGAUGAUUACUAGGAGUUGCGAUAUACCGUCAAGCUUCCACAGCGAAAGCGUUAAGUAAUCCACCUGGGGGAGUACGCCGGCAACGGUGAA
rnacentral:rRNA from 1 species